rnacentral:rRNA from 1 species
UACGUAGGUGACAAGCGUUGUCCGGAUUUACUGGGCGUAAAGAGCGCGCAGGCGGUCGAUCAAGUCGAGUGUGAAAGCCCCCGGCUCAACUGGGGAGGGUCAUUCGAUACUGAUCGACUCGAAGGCAGGAGAGGGUAGUGGAAUUCCCGGUGUAGUGGUGAAAUGCGUAGAUAUCUGGAGGAACACCGGUGGCGAAGGCGGCGUUCUGGACUGUUACUGACACUGAGGCACGAAGGCCAGGGGAGCAAACGGG